rnacentral:misc_RNA from 1 species
UCACCCCUCAAGCCCUCGGCUUGGUGUUGGACGGUUUGGUGGAGACCCCUUUUGCGGGCUUCUACCCCUCCCAAAGACAAUGACGGCGGCCUCGUUGGACCCCCGGUACACUGAGUUCUUCACGGGACACGUAUCGGACACACGGGUUUACGGGACACGGUCUGCCUCCCCUCAGGGAGAAUCUUUUUUAUCAA